rnacentral:lncRNA from 1 species
AGAACUCGAGUGCAAAAGCACGCUAAACAGCUAAAAUGUGAUGUCAAUAGCAAACAAUUCAAAGAUACACUACGUUAUCUUUGGAUGCCAAGGCUAGUUGAAAGAAUUCAAGCUUCUUCCAACUCUGCCGCCACCACCUCCAUCACCAGCAACGACAAUAGUAAUAAUCAUGCAAGCACGAGCGUCAUGCAGGAAAAUUCGAGCGUCACAGCUUCAUCAGAAAACUCAAUGGCGACACAAGUUUCACCAGUUUCUGACAUAUCUGACUGCGCCGCCACUACUACCAUCACCACCACCAGCAACAACAGUAUCAACAAUAACAACAAUAAUAAUAAUCAUGCAAGCACGAGCAUCACGCAUGAAAACUCGAGUGUGACAGCUUCAUCAGAAAACUCAAUGGGGACACAAGUUUCACCAGUUU